GACGAACGCUGGCGGCGUGCCUAAUACAUGCAAGUAGAACGCACAGUAUAUACCGUAGCUUGCUACACCAUAGACUGUGAGUUGCGAACGGGUGAGUAACGCGUAGGUAACCUGCCUGGUAGCGGGGGAUAACUAUUGGAAACGAUAGCUAAUACCGCAUAAUAUUAAUUAUUGCAUGAUAAUUGAUUGAAAGAUGCAACUGCAUCACUACCAGAUGGACCUGCGUUGUAUUAGCUAGUAGGUGAGGUAACGGCUCACCUAGGCGACGAUACAUAGCCGACCUGAGAGGGUGAUCGGCCACACUGGGACUGAGACACGGCCCAGACUCCUACGGGAGGCAGCAGUAGGGAAUCUUCGGCAAUGGACGAAAGUCUGACCGAGCAACGCCGCGUGAGUGAAGAAGGUUUUCGGAUCGUAAAGCUCUGUUGUAAGAGAAGAAACGGGUGUGAGAGUGGAAAAGUUCAC
rnacentral:rRNA from 1 species